rnacentral:rRNA from 1 species
AUUGAACGCUGUCGGCAGGCCUAACACAUUCAAAUCGAGCGAGCGGCCGACGGGUGUGGAUUGUAUGCGGACUGUCCGAUAGAGGGGGAUAACUACUGGAAACGUUAGCUAAUACCUCAUACUAUCGCAUAAUCCAUAUGUGUUUAUCUAGUAGGUGUGGUGAUGGCUCACCUAGGCGACGAUCACUAGCUGGUCUGAGAGGAUGAUGAGACCCACUGGCACUGAGCCAAGGUCCGGACUCCUACGGCGGCAGCAGUGGGGAAUAUUGCACAAUGGGCGCAAGCCUGAUGCAGCCAUGCCGGGUGUAUGAAGAAGGCCCUAGGGUUGUAAAGUACUUUCAGUUGGGAGGCGUUACCGACAGAAGAAGCACCGGCUAACUCCGUGCCAGCAGCCGCGGUAAUUC